AUGCGAAGAGGAGGAGGAGCCAGGAGGCUGUGGCCAUGUACAGAGCAGUCUACAGGGAAGACUUUCACGGAACUCAGGACAACCACGGGUCCAGAGCCGUUCCGAGCCGAGUUCCAAGCUAGGCUGCCCUGUAAACGAGCCUCAGCUGCCCGCUACCCUCAUUUGUCCCCGAGAGCAGAUCGCUCACCACGGCGGCCCCCACCGCGACCCCAAAGCUCGCACCGCCGGUGGUGUGGCCCGAGACCGUCUCUUCUCACGCUGUGCCUACCGUGUGUCACUUUGAGGACCUUCUUCUCCAAGACGUCAGGACUCUUCCCCACUGGGAGGCCGGAGCUGUUUCUCCUCCACCGGUCUCUCCAGCGGAAUGCAGCUUUCCUGGUGCCGAGGCCCACAGGUGCCCACCUGCUCACCAGACUGAGGAGCUCCACAGCCACCGACCUGAGUCUGGAUGGACAGCAAGUCCGGGAUUAAGCCUCCUGGUGGUCCCAGGAGCUGGUGGAUGUGAGUCCUAGAAGGAGGAAAGGCCAGCAGCUUCCUGAGUCUUGCCGCUUCCAUCAGCAAAUCCUCUGCACCUGCUGGGAGGGGCGGAGAAGGACAAGCAAAGAAAAAAGGGUGAGCACUGCCCAGAGCCCCCACCUCAACGCUCCGUUUCCACAAGGCCGGCCUUGAUCCGCCGGCGAGGCACCUCUGCGUCUCCCACAAAGGCCCAAGAGCCCGCUACUCCCCACACCCAGGAGAAGUUGCAGGCCACCCGCACACUACCCCCAGCACCUCGGCC
rnacentral:lncRNA from 1 species